AUGAGGAGAGAACAGAGCUCCUACCUCUUGAUGAAAAAGUGCCAAAGUCAUGUUUUAAAGAAAGCAUGUGGAAUAAGAGAUACUGUUAAUUUUGUUUUUCAUGACCUCAGCUGAUGACACAUCUUUGGAUACAGAAGCAGGAGGACAUAGCUCAUUACUUAGCACAACUAUGCCUUAAG